rnacentral:rRNA from 1 species
UACGUAGGGUCCGAGCGUUGUCCGGAUUUAUUGGGCGUAAAGAGCUCGUAGGCGGUUCCGUAAGUCAGAUGUGAAAACUCAGGGCUCAACCCGGAGACGCCAUCUGAUACUGCGGUGACUGGAGUCUGGUAGGGGAACACGGAAUUCCCGGUGUAGUGGUGGAAUGCGUAGAUAUCGGGAGGAACACCAGUGGCGAAGGCGGUUGCCUGGGGCUUUGCUGACGCUGAUGCGCGAAAGCGUGGGGAGCGAUCCGG